rnacentral:rRNA from 1 species
CGAUACAUAGGGGGACUGAGAGGUUAACCCCCCACACUGGUACUGAGACACGGACCAGACUCCUACGGGAGGCAGCAGUGAGGAAUAUUGGUCAAUGGACGCAAGUCUGAACCAGCCAUGCCGCGUGCAGGAAGACGGCUCUAUGAGUUGUAAACUGCUUUUGUACGAGGGUAAACUCACCUACGUGUAGGUGACUGAAAGUAUCGUACGAAUAAGGAUCGGCUAACUCCGUGCCAGCAGCCGCGGUAAUACGGAGGAUUCAAGCGUUAUCCGGAUUUAUUGGGUUUAAAGGGUGCGUAGGCGGUUUGAUAAGUUAGAGGUGAAAUCCCGGGGCUUAACUCCGGAACUGCCUCUAAUACUGUUAGACUAGAGAGUAGUUGCGGUAGGCGGAAUGUAUGGUGUAGCGGUGAAAUGCUUAGAGAUCAUACAGAACACCGAUUGCGAAGGCAGCUUACCAAACUAUAUCUGACGUUGAGGCACGAAAGCGUGGGGAGCAAACAGGAUUAGAUACCCUGGUAGUCCACGCAGUAAACGAUGAUAACUCGUUGUCGGCGAUACACAGUCGGUGACUAAGCGAAAGCGAUAAGUUAUCCACCUGGGGAGUACGUUCGCAAGAAUGAAACUCAAAGGAAUUGACGGGGGCCCGCACAAGCGGAGGAACAUGUGGUUUAAUUCGAUGAUACGCGAGGAACCUUACCCGGGCUUGAAAGUUACUGACGAUUCUGGAAACAGGAUUUCCCUUCGGGGCAGGAAACUAGGUGCUGCAUGGUUGUCGUCAGCUCGUGCCGUGAGGUGUCGGGUUAAGUCCCAUAACGAGCGCAACCCCUACCGUUAGUUGCCAUCAGGUCAAGCUGGGCACUCUGGCGGGACUGCCGGUGUAAGCCGAGAGGAAGGUGGGGAUGACGUCAAAUCAGCACGGCCCUUACGUCCGGGGCUACACACGUGUUACAAUGGUAGGUACAGAGGGUCGCUACUCCGUGAGGAGAUGCCAAUCUCGAAAGCCUAUCUCAGUUCGGAUUGGAGGCUGAAACCCGCCUCCAUGAAGUUGGAUUCGCUAGUAAUCGCGCAUCAGCCAUGGCGCGGUGAAUACGUUCCCGGGCCUUGUACACACCGCCCGUCAAGCCAUGG